rnacentral:rRNA from 1 species
GAUGAACGCUGGCGGCGUGCCUAAUACAUGCAAGUCGAGCGAACAGACGAGGAGCUUGCUCCUCUGACGUUAGCGGCGGACGGGUGAGUAACACGUGGAUAACCUACCUAUAAGACUGGGAUAACUUCGGGAAACCGGCGCUAAUACCGGAUAAUAUAUUGCACCGCAUGGUUCAAUAGUGAAAGACGGUUUUGCUGUCACUUCUAGAUGGAUCCGCGCCGCAUUAGCUAGUUGGUAAGGUAACGGCUUACCAAGGCAACGAUGCGUAGCCGACCUGAGAGGGGGAUCGGCCACACUGGAACUGAGACACGGUCCAGACUCCUACGGGAGGCAGCAGUAGGGAAUCUUCCGCAAUGGGCGAAAGCUUGACGGAGCAACGCCGCGUGAGUGAUGAAGGUCGUCGGAUCGGAAAACUCUGUUAUUAGGGAAGAACAAAUGUGUAAGUAACUAUGCACGUCUUGACGGUACCUAAUCAGAAAGCCACGGCUAACUACGU